AAGGUUUAUAUCUGUAGAAAUCCUUUCCGUAAUGUUGUCAGACACUUAAAAUAAUAAUCUGUGUUUUUUAGUGGCAAAAACAGAUCUUUUAGUGGACAAAACUGAUGCUGAACAUUUGCCCCAUAGGGUUACAUUGCAGCCCGGUCUGUGGCUGCCAAUUACAGCGUUCACUAUGUUAUAUUAUACUG